rnacentral:rRNA from 1 species
CCCUUAGAUGUUCUGGGCCGCACGCGCGCUACACUGAUUCAUGCAACAAGUUUUGUCCUUGGCUGAUAGGCCUGGGUAAUCUUUGAACGUGAAUCGUGAUGGGGAUAGAUGAUUGCAAUUAUUCAUCUUCAACGAGGAAUUCCUAGUAAACGCAAGUCAUCAGCUUGCAUUGAUUACGUCCCUGCCCUUUGUACACACCGCCCGUCGCACCUACCGAUUGAAUGGUCCGGUGAAGCCUCGGGAUUGUGGUUCUUGCCGCUUUAUUGUGGCGUGACCGCGAGAACUUGUCUAAACCUUAUCAUCUAGAGGAAGGUGAAGUCGUAACA